GACGAACGCUGGCGGCGUGCUUAACACAUGCAAGUCGAACGGAAAGGCCCUGCUUUUGUGGGGUGCUCGAGUGGCGAACGGGUGAGUAACACGUGAGUAACCUGCCCUUGACUUUGGGAUAACUUCAGGAAACUGGGGCUAAUACCGGAUAGGAGCUCCUGCUGCAUGGUGGGGGUUGGAAAGUUUCGGCGGUUGGGGAUGGACUCGCGGCUGAUCAGCUUGUUGGUGGGGUAGUGGCUUACCAAGGCGUUGACGGGUAGCCGGCCUGCGAGGGUGACAGGCCAAAUUCGGACUAAGAUACGGCACAGACUCCUACGGGAGGCAGCAGUGGGGAAUAUUGCACAAUGGGCGGAAGCCUGAUGCAGCAACGCCGCGUGCGGGAUGACGGCCUUCGGGUUGUAAACCGCUUUCGCCUCUGACGAAGCGUGAGUGACGGUAAUGGGUAAAGAAGCACCGGCUAACUACGUG
rnacentral:rRNA from 1 species